CCCGUCUCAGGAUCGCCCCGGGAGAGUUUCCAGUCCUCUACCAGUCUCGGCUAUGGGAGGGAGAGUCAAGCAGAGGCCUACCCACUCCAUUCCUAGCUUGGGCAGUGGCUAGCGAGGGGAGGGAAAUCUGCUUCAAGU